UCAGGUAAACAAUCAAAACAUUUUGUCUCUCCACAAUCGGAAAUCAACACACUCAGAUCGUGAGAAGUUCUCUCGCUUCCUCUUUCGAUUUUAUCGCUGACUCUCUUCCUCUUUUGCUUUGAAAUCGAACGAGGAUGGAGAAGAAGACAGCGAAGAAGACAGGUGCUGAAGAACUUCAGACCCAAUCACCACUCUCUUCUCCGGCUUCUCUUCUCCAUUUAGCUGCCGUCAAUGCCAACUUAGAGAGAUAGAGCUCAGCCAUGUUUCUCCGCCUUCCUCCAUGUCACCUCUAUAUUGUAUUAGCGUGGAGAUUCAUUAGCAUCACCAGCCACCUCUCCUCAUCUCACCGGAGCUAUUGUCUCUCACCGGGGAAGCCGUUUUUGUUGUGAUCCUUAUCAUUGUGGGAUCGUGACCAAAAUGAAAUGAGAAGUGAAACCGGAGCCGUCACGUUCCAUCAGGACCAGCCACCGAUCCGAGCCCCAUUAACCAUCCAUCACGGGAGAGCCGCCGUCGUGAUGUCACCACCUUUGCUUAUGGGUUUUGGUUAUGUCUCUGAGAUUUUAUUAAAAUUGUUAUCAGAUUAAGAGGGAGAUUUCGACCAUGAAACUCGUUCGUCAUCCUUGUGUUGUUCGUCUUUACGAGUUUCUAGCAGGUCGCACAAAUAUUUACAUCCUCUUGGAGUAUAAUACAUGUGGUGAACUGUUCAUAGAAUUGUGAACUAUCUAGCUCUCGACUCAACUACUUCAGGUGAUGAUAAUCUUUGGAAGACAUUGCUUAUCCACUUGUUACAUGUUAUAGGUUCGUAAUGAACGUAUUAGUGAAGCAAAAGCUAGGAAGUACUUACACUAGCUUACCGAAGGAGUUGAUAGUAAAGGGGUCUACCACAGAGAUCUAAAGGUGGUUUCUUUUGCUGACAAUCAACAAUCUUUUCAAACAAAAUAUGGUUUUUGGUUGUUUCUGCUGUAAAUUGUAGCCUGAAAAACUUCUGCUACAUUCUCAAGGAAAUCUCAAGAUAUCUGAUUAUGGGCUCAGUGCAUUACAAGAACGAGUAAUGGUGGUUUCAGUUUAUUGUUUUACUUUCAGAUUGAAUUUUUAUCAACUAAUCAUCUGACUUGUAUCUUAAGGGAGUUACCAUUUUAAAGACAACUUGUGAAACUCCAAAUUAUGUUGCCUUUUAAGUGUUGAAUCAUAAGGGUUACAAUGGUGUCGUGGCAGAUGUAUGGUCCUGUGGGGUCAUCCUUUAUGUUCUGAGUCAUAACUCAUAAGAAUUACAACUGAGCCUUAUGAUGAGAACGACUCAUGUUCCAUAUCUUAUAUUGCAGUAUGUUGUGUUUUAAGUUUUAACCAGAGGAAGGAUACAAAGUUAUAUUCCUAAACAAUCUUUUUUUUCCUUUUAAUGUAUUGAAUCUAUUCUUCUUGGAUUGUUUCAUUGAUCACCUUUCUAUUAGAACCAAUAAUCGCUUGAAGAUGGGGUCCAUGGUUACUUUCAGUCCAAAGUUUAUAGGUGAGGUUAAGAUGAGUGAUGAAGCUGUUGCAGACCAAAUCUAGAGGGAGUAAGGGCAUUUCAAAAACAAGUAGUUACUGCUUUUUGUCCCACUGAACAGAGCAAGCAAGUGGCAAGCUAUAACCAAAUUUAGAGGGAAGAGUAAACAUACACGAGUAUAGUGUGUUACUGGGAAAGCGAGCUGAUUCCAAAAUAUUGAGUGCAGCUAUGGGAUGAAUCAGAUUCCAUAUUUUCUGCUACCGAGAGAGGUAGAUAUGUCUUCCGCUACAGUUGAAAGACACGUUUCUACCUUUGUGCUUCUUAAUAUCUUGUGUUCAUCUUGGUUAAAAUUAACCUUUUGACUUUUUUAUAACAUUGUUAGUUUGGGAAGUUUUUUAAAAAACAAUGAAAAACAUCUCAAACGA